rnacentral:rRNA from 1 species
AUGAGAUUGUUCAAUGGUAAACAACAUGCUAUGGAUUCUAUUUAUGGUAACUGGCAGGAAAGUUUUCAAUUGUUGUAUUCAUUCAAAGGUGAAGUGGAGAGGACAAGCUCAGGUAGUAUUGUAGAUAUUGAUCACCACACCGUGGAGUACACAUUCAGGGGAGUGACAAAGACCAAGGAAUGCUUUAGGAGGGUUUUUGUCUGCUUUGAGGCUUGUCACCGGGAUUUUUUGGCAGGCUGCAGGCCUUAUUUGGCUAUUGAUGCCACUUUUCUCACAGGGAGGUUUAAAGGACAGUUAGUAGCAGCUUGUGCAGUUGAUGCACAUAGUUUUGUAUUUCCAGUUGCCUAUGGUGUGCUGAAGAUAGAGUUUGAGGAGAGCUGGACUUGGUUUUUGCAUAAUCUCCGCCGGGCUAUUGCACAUCCCAAUGUGUUGGUCAUUCAUACAGAUGCCUGCAAAGGUUUAGAAGUGGCCGUGGACAAUGUGUUCCCUGGAGUAGAGCAUAGGGAAUGCAUGCGUCACCUUGCUGCAAAUUUCAUGAAGAAAUUCAAAGGAAAGGUGUAUACCGACAAUUUAUGGCCAGCAUCUUUGACAUGCAGUGUGAAGAAGCACAACUACCACUUGAGGCAGUUAUACAUGAAUCCCAAAGUGAAAGAAUACUUGGAAACACACCACUCCAAGUUAUGGGCCAGAAGCCAAUUCAGUGAAGUGAGCAAAGUUGACUAUGUGCACAAUAAUCUAGCAGAGUCUUUCAACUCAACGAUCUGGAAACUAAAGGGUCAUUAUGUGGUGGAUUUGCUUGACAGGAUAAGGAUAGAAUACAUGCAGAAAUUUCAUUAUCGUGCAGGAAUAGCCGAGGCAAAAUUCAUGGGCCACAUUAUCAUCCCUGCCGUGAUGAAUGAACUAAAGCAGAAGACAACAGGCUUGGAAAUGAACAUGACUCUUUGCUCGGGUACCACAGCAGAGAUAUCAUAUUUGGAUAAAGAGAAGAGGGAAUGGAGAUAUCCAGUGGAUUUAGAAGCUAGAACUUGUAGUUGUAGGCAAUGGCAGAUAACUGGGUUGCCAUGCAUUCAUACCUUGUUUUUCAUCACUUCUCUCCCAGGUCCAGCAGGGAACAUACAGCAGUAUGUGCAUGAUUACUACUCUGUUGCAAGGUUCAAAGCCACAUAUGCUUAUGCCUUGCCUGCUAUGGAGGGAAAACAACAAUGGGACAUGGUGGACCCUGGAUUCAAGCUUUGCGCUCCAAUUCUGAAGAGAAUAGCAGGUAGACCAAGGAAGACGAAUCAGACCUCGCAGCGAAGGAGCUGGACUUGGAGCGAGGAAGCGUAA